rnacentral:rRNA from 1 species
AUUGAACGCUGGCGGCAGGCUUAACACAUGCAAGUCGAGCGGUGAUGAGGUGCUUGCACCUUAUCUUAGCGGCGGACGGGUGAGUAAUGCUUAGGAAUCUGCCUAUUAGUGGGGGACAACAUUCCGAAAGGAAUGCUAAUACCGCAUACGCCCUACGGGGGAAAGCAGGGGAUCUUCGGACCCUGCGCUAAUAGAUGAGCCUAAGUCGGAUUAGCUAGUUGGUGGGGUAAAGGCCUACCAAGGCGACGAUCUGUAGCGGGUCUGAGAGGAUGAUCCGCCACACUGGGACUGAGACACGGCCCAGACUCCUACGGGAGGCAGCAGUGGGGAAUAUUGGACAAUGGGCGGAAGCCUGAUCCAGCCAUGCCGCGUGUGUGAAGAAGGCCUUUUGGUUGUAAAGCACUUUAAGCGAGGAGGAGGCUACCUGGAUUAAUACUCUAGGAUAGUGGACGUUACUCGCAGAAUAGGCACCGGCUAACUCUGUGCCAGCCGCCGCAGUAAAAC